rfam:Hypsibius dujardini strain Z151 scaffold0026, whole genome shotgun sequence.
GCUCUUGUGGCGCAAUUGGUUAGCGCGUUCGGCUGUUAACCGAAAGGUUGGUGGUUCAAAUCCACCCAGGAGCG